CCGCCGGCGACCGGCGCACGGGUGAGUAACACGUAUGCAACCUGCCCGUGGCAGGGGGAUAAGCGGGGGAAACCCCGUCUAAUACCGCGUAACGCGGCCUUGGGGCAUCCCAAGGCCGCCAAAGGGAGCAAUCCCGGCCACGGAUGGGCAUGCGGCGCAUUAGCUAGUCGGCGGGGUAACGGCCCACCGAGUCGACGAUGCGUAGGGGUUCUGAGAGGAAGGCCCCCCACACUGGUACUGAGACACGGACCAGACUCCUACGGAAGGCAGCAG
rnacentral:rRNA from 1 species